AUCCUUUUGUAGUUCAUAAGCGCAGUGAUUGGGUGUUCACACGCACGUGUGAGAUGUGCCACCCACAAACCUUGUUAUGACAUCGUCACAUUACCCAUCUGACA
rnacentral:snoRNA from 1 species